AGAGGGUGAUCGGACACACUGGAACUGAGACACGGUCCAGACUCCUACGGGAGGCAGCAGUAGGGAAUAUUGCACAAUGGGGGCAACCCUGAAGCAGCAACGCCGCGUGGAGGAUGAAGGUUUUAGGAUUGUAAACUCCUUGUGUCACGGACGAUAAUGACGGUAUCUCACGAAUAAGCACCGGCUAACUCCGUGCCAGCAGC
rnacentral:rRNA from 1 species